ensembl:lncRNA
GGCUAGAGAGGGAUGUGCUGUUGUUUGGCUAUGAAGAAUGUUUAGCAUGCCUAAUCUUCUUACAGAAGGGCUUGGUUCCCAGGUGCACCAGCAUGUUAAACAUCCUGAAGAAAGAAUCCUGUGUUAGUGCUCCCAAAUGAUGUUUGGUGACUCCUCUAGCACCAUGAGGGGCCCUGCCAUAGUCUUAUUCUGGUGCCAGCUGGGGGCAGUCUGACUUGCUGUUUCCCCCAGACUCCACUUCUCCAGGGUCCCUUACUAUUUGCCAAAUUCUUACAUUACUCAGAGAGAGCCCAGGGGCUCCUUUUAGCUUGGGAAAAGGGUAAUUUCGGAUAAGGAGGUUGUAGCGAGGCAGAGCCAUUACAGAGCAGGGUUCCUCAGUCUCCAGCAUUGCAUCAAGAUGCCUGUCUUCUGCUUCUGCUGCUGCUGCUAAGUCGCUUCAGUCGUGUCCGACUCUGUGUGACCCCGUAGAUGGCAGCCCACCAGGCUCCCCCGUCCCUGGGAUUCUCCAGGCAAGAACACUGGAGUGGGUUGCCAUUUCCUUCUCCAAUGCAUGGAAGUGAAAAGUGAAAGCGAAGUCACUCAGUCGUGUCCGACUCUUCCCGACCCCAUGGACUGCGGCCUACCAGGCUACUCCGCCCAUGGGAUUUUCCAGGCAAGAGUACUGAGUGCGGUGCCAUUGCCUUCUCCGCCCUGUCUUCUAUGAGUUCUUAUUUGGUGUGAAACAAAAAGAUAUGUUACAGCUGAAACUUCUGAGUGCCUCCAGGUGGAGGCCUUCUCCUUUUAGAAUGCUCAGCUCCUCUCUCGAAUCACUUCCUCCCUCCCAGGCUCUGAGGCUUUCAGGGGCCCCUCACCAAAAAGGAUGGGUGGCUUAGGCUGAGAAACAGAUGCUCUUUCUCAGGGCCCUGAUUCUUUGGUGCCAUUUCCAAAUGACCUCUUUUCACCUUCUGAGUGUUCAAACCUCGAGGGUCUACGUUAAGCAUCUUGACUUGAGGGAAAGGUCCCAGACAGAUCCUCAGCUACUUUUAGUU